rnacentral:rRNA from 1 species
CACUCCUACGGGAGGCAGCAGUGGGGAAUAUUGGACAAUGGGCGCAAGCCUGAUCCAGCCAUGCCGCGUGAGUGAUGAAGGCCCUAGGGUUGUAAAGCUCUUUCACCGGUGAAGAUAAUGACGGUAACCGGAGAAGAAGCCCCGGCUAACUUCGUGCCAGCAGCCGCGGUAAUACGAAGGGGGCUAGCGUUGUUCGGCUUUACUGGGCGUAAAGCGCACGUAGGCGGACUAUUAAGUCAGGGGUGAAAUCCCGGGGCUCAACCCCGGAACUGCCUUUGAUACUGGUAGUCUUGAGUUCGAGAGAGGUGAGUGGAAUUCCGAGUGUAGAGGUGAAAUUCGUAGAUAUUCGGAGGAACACCAGUGGCGAAGGCGGCUCACUGGCUCGAUACUGACGCUGAGGUGCGAAAGCGUGGGGAGCAAACAGGAUUAGAAACCCCAGUAGUCCC